UACGUAGGUGGCAAGCGUUGUCCGGAUUUACUGGGCGUAAAGAGCGCGCAGGCGGUCGUUCAAGUCGCGUGUGAAAGCCCCCGGCUCAACUGGGGAGGGUCACGCGAUACUGAUCGACUCGAAGGCAGGAGAGGGUAGUGGAAUUCCCGGUGUAGUGGUGAAUGCGUAGAUAUCGGGAGGAACACCAGUGGCGAAGGCGACUACCUGGCCUGUUCUUGACGCUGAGGCGCGAAAGCUAGGGGAGCAAACGGG
rnacentral:rRNA from 1 species